GUGAAAUUGUUGAAAGGGAAACGCUUGAAGUCAGUCGCGUCGACCGAGACUCAGCCUUGCCUUGGCUUGGUGUACUUCUCGGCUGACGGGUCAGCAUCAAUUUUGCCCCUUGGAUAAUGAUGAGGGAAACGUGACACCUUUAUGGUGUGUUAUAGUCUCUUGUCGCAUGCAAGGGUCGGGAUUGAGGAACUCAGCACGCACCUUUGGGUGUCGGGGCUUUGCCCACGAUACGUGCUUAGGAUGUUGGCGUAAUGGCUUUAAACGACCCGUCUUGAAACACGGACCAAGGAGUCUAACAUGCCUGCGAGUGUUCGGGUGGAAAACCCGUACGCGUAAUGAAAGUGAACGGAGGCGGGAACCCCUCGGGGUGCACCGUCGACCGAUCCUGAUGUCUUCGGAUGGAUUUGAGUAAGAGCAUAGCUGUUGGGACCCGAAAGAUGGUGAACUAUGCCUGAAUAGGGUGAAGCCAGAGGAAACUCUGGUGGAGGCUCGCAGCGGUUCUGACGUGCAAAUCGAUCGUCAAAUUUGGGCAUAGGGGCGAAAGACUAAUCGAACUAUCUAGUAGCUGGUUCCUGCCGAAGUUUCCCUCAGGAUAGCAGUAACGUUUUCAGUUUUAUGAGGUAAAGCGAAUGAUUAGAGGCCUGGGGGUUGAAACAACCUUCACCUAUUCUCAAACUUUAAAUAUGUAAGAAGUCCUUGUUGCUUAGUUGAACGUGGACAUUUGAAUGUAUCGUUACUAGUGGGCCAUUUUUGGUAAGCAGAACUGGCGAUGCGGGAUGAACCG
rnacentral:rRNA from 1 species